rnacentral:misc_RNA from 1 species
AAGUCGUAACAAGGUAACCGUAGGUGAACCUGCGGUUGGAUCAUUACCAAAUGAACGAAGCGUGCCGUUUCGAGAACCCCUUUCGCACAGGUCUAUAAUGUAUAGGGUUGUGCGACGGGGGCUCGACGCGGGGCGUGGUAGUUUGAACACCUUGUGCACCAAAGAAGGAUCUUUUUCGGGCAACCGGGAAAGCUUCUCUACCUGCCUUUUGUUUCUUUGUUUGAUUGUUUCUGGUUUUGUCGCUCUCUGCCUUUUGUAAGGGCAUGUGGGCGGUUGAAACGAAAACAACUUUUGACAACGGAUCUCUUGGCUCUC